AAUUAUACCGUGGAAACUGCGAAUGGCUCAUUAAAUCAGUUAUCGUUUAUUUGAUAGUACCUUACUACUUGGAUAACCGUGGUAAUUCUAGAGCUAAUACAUGCUAAAAACCCCAACUUCGGGAGGGGUGUAUUUAUUAGAUAAAAAACCAACGCCCUUCGGGGCUUCUUGGUGAUUCAUGAUAACUUUACGGAUCGCAUGGCCUUGCGCCGGCGACGGUUCAUUCAAAUUUCUGCCCUAUCAACUUUCGAUGGUAAGGUAUUGGCUUACCAUGGUUUCAACGGGUAACGGGGAAUUAGGGUUCGAUUCCGGAGAGGGAGCCUGAGAAACGGCUACCACAUCCAAGGAAGGCAGCAGGCGCGCAAAUUACCCAAUCCCGACACGGGGAGGUAGUGACAAUAAAUACUGAUACAGGGCUCUUUUGGGUCUUGUAAUUGGAAUGAGUACAAUUUAAACCUCUUAACGAGGAACAAUUGGAGGGCAAGUCUGGUGCCAGCAGCCGCGGUAAUUCCAGCUCCAAUAGCGUAUAUUAAAGUUGUUGCAGUUAAAAAGCUCGUAGUUGAAACUUGGGUCUGGCUGGCAGGUCCGCCUCACCGCGUGUACUUGUCCGGCCGGGCCUUCCUUCUGGAGAACCUCAUGCCCUUCACUGGGCGUGUUGGGGACCAGGACUUUUACUUUGAAAAAAUUAGAGUGUUCAAAGCAGGCCUUUGCUCGAAUACGUUAGCAUGGAAUAAUAGAAUAGGACGUGCGGUCCUAUUUUGUUGGUUUCUAGGACCGCCGUAAUGAUUAAUAGGGACAGUCGGGGGCAUCAGUAUUCAAUUGUCAGAGGUGAAAUUCUUGGAUUUAUUGAAGACUAACUACUGCGAAAGCAUUUGCCAAGGAUGUUUUCAUUAAUCAGUGAACGAAAGUUAGGGGAUCGAAGACGAUCAGAUACCGUCGUAGUCUUAACCGUAAACUAUGCCGACUAGGGAUCGGGCGAUGUUCUUUUUCUGACUCGCUCGGCACCUUACGAGAAAUCAAAGUUUUU
rnacentral:rRNA from 1 species